rnacentral:lncRNA from 1 species
GGGAAGGAGCCUGUUGCUCAUUCUGUGCCAUCCCUGGUAGAUCUGCUGGAUUUGAGUCCUCUGCAAUAUUCAACAGUGAGCCCUGUGGCUGACAAUUCUGCCAGAGUGCUGGAAACCCUCUGCCCCAUGUCCAAGGAAGAGUGGAGGACAGGCAACAUCAUGCUGUGUACAGAAGCAGACAGAGCAGCACCUUCUUGCUCCAGCCUGCGCGUCAGAGCUGCCAUCCACCUCAUGUGAACACCUACUGGGAAAUUCAGACCACCUAGGGAGGUAGCACAGGAAGCAAGGAG